GAUGAACGCUGGCGGCGUGCCUAAUACAUGCAAGUCGAGCGAACUGAUUAGAAGCUUGCUUCUAUGACGUUAGCGGCGGACGGGUGAGUAACACGUGGGCAACCUGCCUGUAGGACUGGGAUAACUUCGGGAAACCGAAGCUAAUACCGGAUAGGAUCUUCUCCUUCAUGGGAGAUGAUUGAAAGAUGGUUUCGGUUAUCACUUACAGAUGGGCCCGCGGUGCAUUAGCUAGUUGGUGAGGUAACGGCUCACCAAGGCAACGAUGCAUAGCCGACCUGAGAGGGUGAUCGGCCACACUGGGACUGAGACACGGCCCAGACUCCUACGGGAGGCAGCAGUAGGGAAUCUUCCGCAAUGGACGAAAGUCUGACGGAGCAACGCCGCGUGAGUGAUGAAGGCUUUCGGGUCGUAAAACUCUGUUGUUAGGGAAGAACAAGUACAAGAGUAACUGCUUGUACCUUGACGGUACCUAACCAGAAAGCCACGGCUAACUACGUGCCAGCCGCCGCUGUAA
rnacentral:rRNA from 1 species